CGUCGGAGCUUAAAAUACAAUACAGUUGUCUCCUAAUUAGCAUUAGGACCAUUUGUUUGAUUGAUAUAUAAAAAGCCCAUAUUUUUCUAUCGAAAGCUGCAUGUCGACAGGAUAUUCUCACCCUUCCGGAGCACCUGAGAUCAUCCCUAGUUUUCGGUUGGGUUCGUGUUACUUAUUCUUGAGUUUUGUAUGUUGUGUCACUGUGUUCUAUUGUUUGUCUGUUUGUCUUCUUUCAUUUUUAGCCAGGCGUUGUCAGUUUAUUUUCGAUUUAUGAGUCUGAAUGUCCCUCUGGUAUCUUGCGUCCCUCUUUUAAAUAGAAAAGCAUAAGUCCUUGAGAUAUAUAAAGACCAUUUUUAUCCUAUGGCAAUUAAAUUAAAUAAUAUAAUAAACCUACCACAAGAGAUUAUUUCGUCAGACAUAAUAAUUAGUAUUUUUGUAUUUUUGCUAACAUCGUGACAUAAGAAAGUAAACAUUUUUUAUUUAGUGUAAAUUGUAUUUUACUGAGAUUUUAAUGUGUGAACAAUAUCUUUUUAUCAUAUGUUGUUGAUCAUAUGCACAUAUAUAUGUAUAUAUAAAUCAUGCUUGAUAAUGCAUGUUAGAUAAAAUAAUAGUACAUAACUGUCGACGUGUUUAUAACGUCACAGAUGAUACAGAAGUAAACGUGCUGCCCAAAGUGCUAAGAUUAACGAUGCAUUUGAAAUAGAAUAAGCAUUAUAUUGAAGAGCUUGAAAUUCCCUAAUAUUUUCACAAUGAAUAAAUG
rnacentral:lncRNA from 1 species